rnacentral:rRNA from 1 species
GUCUACGGCCAUGACACCCUGAAUGUAUUCAAUCUCAUCUGAUCUUGGAAGCUAAGUAGGGUCAGGCCUGGUUAGUAUUUGGAUGGGAGACUACCUAGGAACACCAGGUACUACAGGCA